rnacentral:rRNA from 1 species
CCAUAGUNUGGGAUACCACUUGGAAACAGGUGCUAAUACCGGAUAAGAAAGCGGAUCGCAUGAUCAGCUUUUAAAAGGCGGCGUAAGCUGUCGCUAUGGGAUGGCCCCGCGGUGCAUUAGCUAGUUGGUAAGGUAAAGGCUUACCAAGGCGAUGAUGCAUAGCCGAGUUGAGAGACUGAUCGGCCACAUUGGGACUGAGACACGGCCCAAACUCCUACGGGAGGCAGCAGAC